GCCGGAAAGUCCGGCCGUAGCAGGUGAUAGCCCUGUAGGCGAAAUCUUGUGUGUGGAACUAAGCGUAAGAAAAGUAGGGCGGGACACGUGAAAUCCUGUUUGAAGAUGGGGGGACCAUCCUCCAAGGCUAAAUACUCGUGAUCGACCGAUAGUGAACCAGUACCGUGAGGGAAAGGCGAAAAGAACCCCGGAAGGGGAGUGAAAUAGAUCCUGAAACCGUAUGCAUACAAACAGUAGGAGCCUCCUUGUGGGGUGACUGCGUACCUUUUGUAUAAUGGGUCAGCGACUUACAUUCAGUGGCAAGGUUAACCGAAUAGGGAAGCCGUAGCGAAAGCGAGUCCGAAUAGGGCGAUUCAGUCGCUGGGUGUAGACCCGAAACCAGAUGAUCUA
rnacentral:rRNA from 1 species